rnacentral:lncRNA from 1 species
CUCUUUCUCAGUGGCUUAGUAAUUUGUUUUAUUUGAGACAUGAAUCCAGAGAAGUGAGUGGUAAUUUCCAACUUACCCCAGUGGCAAUCAGUCACUAUCUGCUCAUCUGCACACUGGUGCCACCAAGGGUCCUGCAUCCAGUCUUCUGCAUGAACACCUCUGGAAGCCGCACAGGAACGAAGUCUGGGUCAUGUGCGGACCGCUUGUGGCUCUUAAAUCCUCUUUUUG